UACGUAGGGUGCAAGCGUUGUCCGGAAUUAUUGGGCGUAAAGGGUAGGUAGGUGGUCUCAUUUGUCUGGGGUGAAAGCCUUGAGCUUAACUCAAGAAGUGCCCCGGAAACGGUGAGACUGGAGUCCUGGAGAGGGUCGUGGAAUUCCCGGUGUAGCGGUGAAAUGCGUAGAGAUCGGGAGGAACACCAGAGGCGAAGGCGGCGACCUGGACAAGCACUGACACUCAACUACGAAAGCGUGGGGAGCAAACAGG
rnacentral:rRNA from 1 species